UGGGGAAUAUUGCGCAAUGGAGGAAACUCUGACGCAGCAACGCCGCGUGAAGGAUGAAGGUCUUCGGAUUGUAAACUUCUUUAGUCGGGGACGAAGAAAUGACGGUACCCGAAGAAUAAGCCACGGCUAACUACGUGCCAGCAGCCGCGGUAAUACGUAGGUGGCGAGCGUUGUCCGGAAUUACUGGGUGUAAAGGGCGUGUAGGCGGGACGGUAAGUCAGAUGUGAAAUUCCGAAGCUUAACUUCGGCGCUGCAUCUGAAACUGUCGUUCUUGAGUGCUGGAGAGGAAAGCGGAAUUCCUAGUGUAGCGGUGAAAUGCGUAGAUAUUAGGAGGAACACCAGUGGCGAAGGCGGCUUUCUGGACAGUAACUGACGCUGAGGCGCGAAAGCGUGGGGAGCA
rnacentral:rRNA from 1 species